GGAUCGGUCACUGUUUAAAAGUCAGCGAUUGCUCAUUCAAAACAGAGUUAACAGGUUUUCGAAGAGACUGGCAAUUACAGGAAUUUGUGCAUUGACACUCGAUUGUUAGCACACGAGGCACUGCUCUAUAAACAAACACGAAGGGAGUGCUGACAGUGGAAAUAAAUAUUAGGGAGC